rnacentral:rRNA from 1 species
AUUGAACGCUGGCGGCAUGCCUUACACAUGCAAGUCGAGCGGCAGCGCGGGGGCAACCCUGGCGGCGAGCGGCGAACGGGUGAGUAAUACAUCGGAACGUGUCCUGUCGUGGGGGAUAACCAGUUGAAAGAUUGGCUAAUACCGCAUGACCUCGUAAGAGAAAAGCGGGGGAUCGCAAGACCUCGCGCGAUUGGAGCGGCCGAUGUCGGAUUAGCUAGUUGGCGGGGUAAAAGCCCACCAAGGCGACGAUCCGUAGCUGGUUUGAGAGAACGACCAGCCACACUGGGACUGAGGCACGGCCCAGACUCCUACGGGAGGCAGCAGUGGGGAAUUUUGGACAAUGGGGGCAACCCUGAUCCAGCCAUGCCGCGUGUGUGAAGAAGGCCUUCGGGUUGUAAAGCACUUUCGGCCGGAAUGAAAUCGCGCGGGCUAAUACCCAGCGUGGAUGACGGUACCGGAAGAAGAAGCACCGGCUAACUACGUGCCAGCCGCCGCCGUAACAC